AUCAUGGCCCAUGAUGAACGCUAGCUACAGGCUUAACACAUGCAAGUCGAGCUUUAGCAUGGUCUUAGCUUGCUAAGGCCGAUGGCGACCGGCGCACGGGUGAGUAACACGUAUCCAACCUGCCGUCUACUCUUGGACAGCCUUCUGAAAGGAAGAUUAAUACAAGAUGGCAUCAUGAGUCCGCAUGUUCACAUGAUUAAAGGUAUUCCGGUAGACGAUGGGGAUGCGUUCCAUUAGAUAGUAGGCGGGGUAACGGCCCACCUAGUCUUCGAUGGAUAGGGGUUCUGAGAGGAAGGUCCCCCACAUUGGAACUGAGACACAGUCCAAACUCCUACGGGAGGCAGCAGUGAGGAAUAUUGGUCAAUGGGCGCAGGCCUGAACCAGCCAAGUAGCGUGAAGGAUGACUGCCCUAUGGGUUGUAAACUUCUUUUAUAAAGGAAUAAAGUCGGGUAUGGAUACCCGUUUGCAUGUACUUUAUGAAUAAGGAUCGGCUAACUCCGUGCCAGCAGCCGCGGUAAUACGGAGGAUCCGAGCGUUAUCCGGAUUUAUUGGGUUUAAAGGGAGCGUAGAUGGAUGUUUAAGUCAGUUGUGAAAGUUUGCGGCUCAACCGUAAAAUUGCAGUUGAUACUGGAUAUCUUGAGUGCAGUUGAGGCACGCGGAAUUUCGCGGCGUAGCGGUGAAAUGCUUAGAUAUCACGAAGAACUCCCGAUUGCGAAGGCAGCAUGCUAAGCUGCAACUGACAUUGAGGCUCGAAAGUGUGGGUAUCAAACAGGAUUAGAUACCCUGGUAGUCCACACGGUAAACGAUGAAUACUCGCUGUUUGCGAUAUACUGCAAGCGGCCAAGCGAAAGCGUUAAGUAUUCCACCUGGGGAGUACGCCGGCAACGGUGAAACUCAAAGGAAUUGACGGGGGCCCGCACAAGCGGAGGAACAUGUGGUUUAAUUCGAUGAUACGCGAGGAACCUUACCCGGGCUUAAAUUGCAGAUGAAUUACGGUGAAAGCCGUAAGCCGCAAGGCAUCUGUGAAGGUGCUGCAUGGUUGUCGUCAGCUCGUGCCGUGAGGUGUCGGCUUAAGUGCCAUAACGAGCGCAACCCUUGUUGUCAGUUACUAACAGGUUCCGCUGAGGACUCUGACAAGACUGCCAUCGUAAGAUGUGAGGAAGGUGGGGAUGACGUCAAAUCAGCACGGCCCUUACGUCCGGGGCUACACACGUGUUACAAUGGGGGGUACAGAGGGCCGCUACCACGCGAGUGGAUGCCAAUCCCAAAAACCUCUCUCAGUUCGGACUGGAGUCUGCAACCCGACUCCACGAAGCUGGAUUCGCUAGUAAUCGCGCAUCAGCCACGGCGCGGUGAAUACGUUCCCGGGCCUUGUACACACCGCCCGUCAAGCCAUGGGAGCCGGGGGUACAUGAAGUGCGUAACCGCGAGGAGCGCCCUAGGGUAAAACUGGUAAAUGGGGCA
rnacentral:rRNA from 1 species